AGAAGGUUUCAGAACCACUGCAGUAGAAAGUUACAGAACCAGUCCAGUAGAAGGUUACAGAACCACUGCAGUAGAAAGUUACAGAACCACUGCAGUAGAAGGUUACAGAACCACUGCAGUAGAAGGUUACAGAACCACUGCAGUAGAAGGUUAAAUAAGCAGUGCAGUAGAAGGUUACAGAACCACUGCAGUAGAAAGUUACAGAACCACUGCAGUAGAAAGUUACAGAACCACUGCAGUAGAAGGUUAAAGAAGCAGUGCAGUAGAAGGUUACAGAACCACUGCAGUAGAAGGUUACAGAACCACUGCAGUAGAAGGUUAAAGAAGCAGUGCAGUAGAAGGUUACAGAACCACUGCAGUAGAAGGUUAAAGAAGCACUGCAGUAGAAGGUUACAGAACCACUGCAGUAGAAGGUUAAAGAAGCAGUGCAGUAGAAGGUUACAGAACCACUGCAGUAGAAGGUUACAGAACCACUGCAGUAGAAGGUUACAGAACCACUGCAGUAGAAGGUUACAGAACCACUGCAGUAGAAGGUUACAGAACCACUGCAGUAGAAGGUUACAGAACCACUGCAGUAGAAAGUUACAGAACCACUGCAGUAGAAGGUUAAAGAAGCAGUGCGGUCCAAAUUGUUCCCAGUGUUGUUUUAAGACAUACAACACUCAGAUUGUGAAAAUAAUGAUAAUACCUUUUUUGGGGGAAAGAG